rnacentral:rRNA from 1 species
GACGAACGCUGGCGGCGUGCUUAACACAUGCAAGUCGAACGGAAAGGCCCUGCUUUUGUGGGGUGCUCGAGUGGCGAACGGGUGAGUAACACGUGAGUAACCUGCCCUUGACUUUGUGAUAACUUCAGGAAACUGGGGCUAAUACCGGAUAGGAGCUCCUGCUGCAUGUUGGGGGUUGGAAAGUUUCGGCGGUUGGGGCUGGACUCGCGGCUUAUCAGCUUGUUUGUGGGGUAGUGGCUUACCAAGGCUUUGACGGGUAGCCGGCCUGAGAGGGUGACCGGGCACAUUGGGACUGAGAUACGGCGCAGACUGCUACGAGAGGCAGUAGUGGAGAAUAUUGCACAAUGGGCGGAAGCCUGAUGCAGCAACGCCGCGUGCGGGAUGACGGCCUUCGGGUUGUAAACCGCUUUCGCCUGUGACGAAGCGGGAGUGACGGUAAUGGGUAAAGAAGCACCGGCUAACUACGUG